rnacentral:tRNA from 1 species
CCGAUGUAGCUCAGAUGGCAGAGCAAUCGAUUCGUAAUCGAUAGGUCAGGGGUUCGACUCCCCUCAUCGGC